AUAAUAAAUAGUCUUUUAAUUGAAGGCUGGAAUGAAUGAUUGAACGAGGUAAAUUCUGUCUCAUUUAAAAUAAAAUUUAAAUUUAAUUUUUAAGUUAAAAAGCUUAAAUAUAAUUAGAGGACGAGAAGACCCUAUAGAACUUUAUAAUAUUUUAUUAAAAUUAAUAAAUUUAAAUUUUAUUUUAUUAAUUUUAUAUUAUUUUAUUGGGGCGAUAAUAAAAUUUAAUUAACUUUUAUAAUUUUAAAUACAUUAAUUUAUGAGAAUUUGAUCCUAUUUUUUAGAUUAUUAGAUUAAGUUACCUUAGGGAUAACAGCGUUAUUUUUUUUUAGAGUUCAUAUUAAUAAAAAAGAUUGC
rnacentral:rRNA from 1 species